rnacentral:rRNA from 1 species
UACGGGGGGUGCAAGCGUUGUCCGGAAUCAUUGGGCGUAAAGCGUUCGUAGGCGGUAUGUCAAGUCUGAUGUUAAAGCCCGGGGCUCAACUCCGGUUCGGCAUUGGAUACUGGCAAACUAGAAUGUGGUAGAGGUAAAGGGAAUUCCUGGUGUAGCGGUGAAAUGCGUAGAUAUCACACAGAACACCGAUUGCGAAGGCAUCUCACGAAUCCGCGAUUGACGCUGAUGCACGAAAGCGUGGGUAUCAAACAGG